UUUGACAUACAAAGAACCAAUGGGAUACAUUGCUGAUGAAGGAGAAGGAGGUCUAAUCACUUUGGAAAACAAUUUGAAAUUCAACUGUGCAGAGAAAAUGACUGGUUCAGGCCACUCACAGUGGGUCACUCUUGGAAUCCCUUGCUGAGUUGGGAGGACUGCUUGAGCUCAGGAGCUUGAGACCAGCCUGGAAAACAUAAUGAGAUUGAGACCUCGUCUCUUCUAAAAAGAAAAAA
rnacentral:lncRNA from 1 species